rnacentral:tRNA from 1 species
GGGGAACCUGCGGCUGGAUCACCUCCUUUCUAAGGAGCUUCGAGGGUCCGGGGAUCCUACUCGGAUCUCCGGGCCCUCCAAAGCUUAGUUCUUCAGCUCAAACUUUCUCGCGUGAGCCAGUAACAUUAUUUUCCGUUGGGCCUUUAGCUCAGCUGGCUAGAGCGCGCGCUUGAUAAGCGCGAGGUCCCUGGUUCGACCCCAGGAAGGCCCACCAGAAUGGCGUGUUGGGGAUGUAGCUCAGUUGGGAGAGCACCUGCUUUGCAAGCAGGGGGUCGCCGGUUCGACUCCGGUCAUCUCCACCAAGCGUGAACGCGAUUGAGAGAGGCGCGGCUCUGGCCGCGAAGCUCUUUGACAAUUGAAUACGUUGAUUCUCGAGUGUAGCCAAGCGAUGUUCUUCUUAGGCAAGCAAUGAUUUCGUGGUCAAGCUACUAAGGGCGAAC